AAACUCAAAGGAAUUGACGGGGACCCGCACAAGCGGUGGAUGAUGUGGAUUAAUUCGAUGCAACGCGAAAAACCUUACCUACCCUUGACAUGUCUGGAAUCCUUGAGAGAUCAGGGAGUGCCUUCGGGAGCCAGAACACAGGUGCUGCAUGGCUGUCGUCAGCUCGUGUCGUGAGAUGUUGGGUUAAGUCCCGCAACGAGCGCAACCCUUGCCACUAAUUGCCAUCAUUGAGUUGGGCACUUUAGUGGGACUGCCGGUGACAAACCGGAGGAAGGUGGGGAUGACGUCAAGUCCUCAUGGCCCUUAUGGGUAGGGCUUCACACGUCAUACAAUGGUCGGUACAGAGGGUUGCCAAGCCGCGAGGUGGAGCUAAUCUCUUAAAGCCGAUCGUAGUCCGGAUCGUAGUCUGCAACUCGACUACGUGAAGUCGGAAUCGCUAGUAAUCGCAGAUCAGCAUGCUGCGGU
rnacentral:rRNA from 1 species